rnacentral:tRNA from 1 species
AGUUCAGCUGGUUAGAAUCCCCGCCUGUCACGCGGGUGGUCGCGGGUUCGAGUCCCGU